CACUAUCGUUAACUGAAUACAUAGGUUAACGAGGCGAACCGGGGGAACUGAAACAUCUAAGUACCCCGAGGAAAAGAAAUCAACCGAGAUUCCCCCAGUAGCGGCGAGCGAACGGGGAGCAGCCCAGAGUCUGAAUCAGCUUGUGUGUUAGUGGAACGGUCUGGAAAGUCCGACGGUACAGGGUGAUAGUCCCGUACACCAAAAUGCACAGGUUGUGAACUCGAAGAGUAGGGCGGGACACGUGGUAUCCUGUCUGAAUAUGGGGGGACCAUCCUCCAAGGCUAAAUACUCCUGACUGACCGAUAGUGAACCAGUACCGUGAGGGAAAGGCGAAAAGAACCCCGGCGAGGGGAGUGAAAAAGAACCUGAAACCGUGUACGUACAAGCAGUGGGAGCACCUUCGGGUGUGACUGCGUACCUUUUGUAUAAUGGGUCAGCGACUUAUAUUCUGUAGCAAGGUUAACCGUAUAGGGGAGCCGCAGGGAAACCGAGUCUUAACUGGGCGUUAAGUUGCAGGGUAUAGACCCGAAACCCGGUGAUCUAGCCAUGGGCAGGUUGAAGGUUGGGUAACACUAACUGGAGGACCGAACCGACUAAUGUUGAAAAAUUAGCGGAUGACUUGUGGCUGGGGGUGAAAGGCCAAUCAAACCGGGAGAUAGCUGGUUCUCCCCGAAAGCUAUUUAGGUAGCGCCUCGUGAACUCAUCUUCGGGGGUAGAGCACUGUUUCGGCUAGGGGGUCAUCCCGACUUACCAACCCGAUGCAAACUACGAAUACCGAAGAAUGUUAUCACGGGAGACACACGGCGGGUGCUAACGUCCGUCGUGAAGAGGGAAACAACCCAGACCGCCAGCUAAGGUCCCAAAGUCAUGGUUAAGUGGGAAACGAUGUGGGAAGGCACAGACAGCCAGGAUGUUGGCUUAGAAGCAGCCAUCAUUUAAAGAAAGCGUAAUAGCUCACUGGUCGAGUCGGCCUGCGCGGAAGAUGUAACGGGGCUAAACCAUGCACCGAAGCUGCGGCAGCGACACUAUGUGUUGUUGGGUAGGGGAGCGUUCUGUAAGCCUGCGAAGGUGUGCUGUGAGGCAUGCUGGAGGUAUCAGAAGUGCGAAUGCUGACAUAAGUAACGAUAAAGCGGGUGAAAAGCCCGCUCGCCGGAAGACCAAGGGUUCCUGUCCAACGUUAAUCGGGGCAGGGUGAGUCGACCCCUAAGGCGAGGCCGAAAGGCGUAGUCGAUGGGAAACAGGUUAAUAUUCCUGUACUUGGUGUUACUGCGAAGGGGGGACGGAGAAGGCUAUGUUAGCCGGGCGACGGUUGUCCCGGUUUAAGCAUGUAGGCUGGUUGUCCAGGCAAAUCCGGAUAAUCAAGGCUGAGGUGUGAUGACGAGGCACUACGGUGCUGAAGUAACAAAUGCCCUGCUUCCAGGAAAAGCCUCUAAGCAUCAGGUAACAUCAAAUCGUACCCCAAACCGACACAGGUGGUCAGGUAGAGAAUACCAAGGCGCUUGAGAGAACUCGGGUGAAGGAACUAGGCAAAAUGGUGCCGUAACUUCGGGAGAAGGCACGCUGGUGUGUAGGUGAAGUCCCUGCGGAUGGAGCUGAGACCAGUCGAAGAUACCAGCUGGCUGCAACUGUUUAUUAAAAACACAGCACUGUGCAAACACGAAAGUGGACGUAUACGGUGUGACGCCUGCCCGGUGCCGGAAGGUUAAUUGAUGGGGUUAUCCGUAAGGAGAAGCUCUUGAUCGAAGCCCCGGUAAACGGCGGCCGUAACUAUAACGGUCCUAAGGUAGCGAAAUUCCUUGUCGGGUAAGUUCCGACCUGCACGAAUGGCGUAAUGAUGGCCAGGCUGUCUCCACCCGAGACUCAGUGAAAUUGAACUCGCUGUGAAGAUGCAGUGUACCCGCGGCAAGACGGAAAGACCCCGUGAACCUUUACUAUAGCUUGACACUGAACAUUGAGCCUUGAUGUGUAGGAUAGGUGGGAGGCUUUGAAGCGUGGACGCCAGUCUGCGUGGAGCCAACCUUGAAAUACCACCCUUUAAUGUUUGAUGUUCUAACGUUGGCCCCUGACCGGGGUUGCGGACAGUGUCUGGUGGGUAGUUUGACUGGGGCGGUCUCCUCCCAAAGCGUAACGGAGGAGCACGAAGGUUAGCUAAUCCUGGUCGGACAUCAGGAGGUUAGUGCAAUGGCAUAAGCUAGCUUGACUGCGAGCGUGACGGCGCGAGCAGGUGCGAAAGCAGGUCAUAGUGAUCCGGUGGUUCUGAAUGGAAGGGCCAUCGCUCAACGGAUAAAAGGUACUCCGGGGAUAACAGGCUGAUACCGCCCAAGAGUUCAUAUCGACGGCGGUGUUUGGCACCUCGAUGUCGGCUCAUCACAUCCUGGGGCUGAAGUAGGUCCCAAGGGUAUGGCUGUUCGCCAUUUAAAGUGGUACGCGAGCUGGGUUUAGAACGUCGUGAGACAGUUCGGUCCCUAUCUGCCGUGGGCGCUGGAGAAUUGAGGGGGGCUGCUCCUAGUACGAGAGGACCGGAGUGGACGCAUCACUGGUGUUCGGGUUGUCAUGCCAAUGGCACUGCCCGGUAGCUAAAUGCGGAAGAGAUAAGUGCUGAAAGCAUCUAAGCACGAAACUUGCCCCGAGAUGAGUUCUCCCUGAGACUUUAAGUCUCCUGAAGGAACGUUAAAGACGAUGACGUUGAUAGGCCGGGUGUGUAAGCGCAGCGAUGCGUUGAGCUAACCGGUACUAAUGAACCGUGAGGCUUAACCUU
rnacentral:rRNA from 1 species